UACGUAGGUGGCAAGCGUUGUCCGGAUUUACUGGGCGUAAAGGGCGUGCAGGCGGUUUGUUAAGUCUAGGGUGAAAGCUCCCGGCUCAACUGGGAGAGGUCCUUGGAUACUGGCAAACUUGAGGGAGGCAGAGGAGAGUGGAAUUCCUGGUGUAGCGGUGAAAUGCGCAGAUAUCAGGAGGAACACCGGUGGCGAAGGCGGAUCUCUGGGCCAUUACUGACGCUGAGGAGCGAAAGCGUGGGGAGCGAACAGG
rnacentral:rRNA from 1 species